rnacentral:tRNA from 1 species
GGCCUCGUAGCUCAGGUAAGGAGGAGCGCCCGCUUGUCGCGCGGGAGGUCGCCGGUUCGAAUCCGGUCGGGGCCG